rnacentral:snRNA from 1 species
AUACUUACCUGGCAGGGGAGAUACCAUGAUCAUGAAGGUGAUUUUCCCAGGGCAUGGCUUAUCCAUUGCACCCCAGAUGUGCUGUCCUCUUUGAUUUCCCCAAACGUGGGAAACUCGACUGCAUAAUUUGAGGUAGUGGGGGACUGAAUUUGCGCUUUCCCCUG